rnacentral:siRNA from 1 species
AUAUGUUGACAGAGGAUCAAAGU